GAAACUCCGGUGAGAGCUCACCGGAGAAGACGACCGGAGCUUUCUCAGGUUGUCUGAGUUUGAUCAGACACGUUGGCAAAAUGAAAUGUUUUGAUUGGUUGGAUUUAAAUUGGAUCUUGUGUUUGGCUUGCAACGUGUUCCAUCAUGGUCUCAAACAUUUGGAGUGUUGGAUCUGCCACGUCAAUUAACGAGGCGUGAUCCAAUGGUCCUUGUUUUUUCUAAUUUUUAUUUUUUUUCUUUUAUUAUUU
rnacentral:lncRNA from 1 species